UGGCUCAGUUGGUAGAGCGUGAUGUUUGCAACGCCAGGGUUGUGGGUUCGAUUCCCAC
rfam:Salmo salar isolate Sally breed double haploid chromosome ssa18, whole genome shotgun sequence.